rnacentral:snRNA from 14 species
AUACUUAAGUAGCAGGGGAGACACCGUGAUCAGGCAGGUGGCUUUGCCAGGCGAGGCUCAUCCCUUGCACUCGGGUGAGCUGACCCCUACGAUUUCCCCACUGCAUAAUUUGUGGUACUGGGGGACUGCGCGCUUUAUUUGU